UCAGAGUUCAAAAUGGUAACAUGCGGGUUUCAGAAGCUGCAACUCUGAGCAUCAUGAGGAUACUUUUAAUAUGAAAAUACCACUUGCGUUAGCUUAGCCUUAGUUUGAUUAAUCCUUUUUUCGUUUCUCGAAUAUGUCCGUGAACGCAUCAAAGCACGAGCUGAUCCAGCUGAUCUACCGCCACUUGAAGGAGCAUGGUUAUCGCUCAGCUGCAGAUGAGCUACAGAGGCACAGCCCACAGGGGGAGACCAAAAUAUCAGUAUCACUACUCGACAUCUACACAUCAUGGUUGAAUAACCCAAAAGAUUCAGCAGAUCAAGGAAGGACUCCAACUAAAG